rnacentral:lncRNA from 1 species
UAGUCUUUCCAUUUCGUUCCUUUCGGAAGACCUAUUGUCCUUCCUUAGUUUUGUAGUCUUUUACUUAUAAGUUUCAUUGUUCGAAAUAGCGCUCGAGGUGUGUGCCUCGUAGCGAGGCGGAAGGAAGCAGAAGCGAGGCGUGCGCUUAUUAUGGAACUGAAGAGACUUGCGCCUUUUUCGGUUGAGGCUUACGCCUCGUCGCGAAGCGCCUCAAGGCGUCGCAAGGCCUGCGCCUCGAUUUGGCUUUAAAAAAAAACCUAAGUAUCAGGUUUGGCUUAAUAUCAGAUUUGGCUUCAUCGACUUCUUCAUGGUUCUGCGACUGCUUCAACCUUCACCAGGUAGUACUUUUUCUUCUUCUUUUUCUUUUCUUCCUCUGUCGUCGUCUCUGUUUUCCUCUUCUGUCGUCCUUCCUAAUCUCUGUUUUCUUCUUUUGAGUUUAGUCCUCUGUUAUAGUGUAGUCUUCUUCUGUUAGACUGUUACAGUGUAGUCCUCUGGUUUUUUUUUUUUCAAACAAUGUAGUCCUCUGUUAGUCUGUUUUCCCUUCCAUUCAGCUGGUUAAGUUUUUUUUUUCGUUGACUGCAGGUGCUUGACUGCUUGUAACAAUUUUUGUUACAGAACAAUUUUUGUUGUAUUGAUUUUUUUUUUGUGCUUGACUGCUCUGUUUGUGUUUUCAUUAAUUUCUUUUUGAACAAAGAUAGCAUAUGAUAAUUUCAUAUUUCCAUUUGGUUUUUUAGACUGUCAAUAAUAAUAUUAUUAUUUGUGUACAUGAAUUGCUAAUGUCGCCAAAAUAAAUUUAAUUGGGUUAAUUAGAAUUGGCA